GCCGGGGUGGUGGAAUUGGUAGACACGCUAGCUUGAGGGGCUAGUGGAAAAAUACUUCCGUGCGAGUUCAAGUCUCGCCUCCGGCACCA
rnacentral:tRNA from 1 species